AUUGAACGCUGGCGGCAGGCCUAACACAUGCAAGUCGAGCGGAUGAAGGGAGCUUGCUCCUGGAUUCAGCGGCGGACGGGUGAGUAAUGCCUAGGAAUCUGCCUGGUAGUGGGGGAUAACGUCCGGAAACGGGCGCUAAUACCGCAUACGUCCUGAGGGAGAAAGUGGGGGAUCUUCGGACCUCACGCUAUCAGAUGAGCCUAGGUCGGAUUAGCUAGUUGGUGGGGUAAAGGCCUACCAAGGCGACGAUCCGUAACUGGUCUGAGAGGAUGAUCAGUCACACUGGAACUGAGACACGGUCCAGACUCCUACGGGAGGCAGCAGUCGGGAAUAUUGGACAAUGGGCGAAAGCCUGAUCCAGCCAUGGCGCGUGUGUGAAGAAGGUCGUCGGAUUGUAAAGCACUUUAAGUUGGGAGGAAGGGCAGUAAGUUAAUACCUUGCUGUUUUGACGUUACCAACAGAAUAAGCACCGGCUAACUUCGUG
rnacentral:rRNA from 1 species